CUUUGUAUCUUUUAACAAGGAAA
rnacentral:snRNA from 1 species